GUAUGGCGUUUUUUCUCUUGUAUGAAGAGGUCCUAAAGAGCUGCUGACUGCUAAUGGUGGAACUGAAACUAGUAGUACAGGAUCUCAUUCUUUUACUCAGGUGUUUUAUUUCCUCACCUUGUUUCUUUGUGUAGCAGAAAUGCUAAGUCAUGGCCUGAAACAGUGAUGGAGCACCUGGUGGGAAGGCAGGGCCAACCCAGGGGAGCUCAGCUGCAAGCAGUGCACCUGAGUGACCGCAAGGGGUGGAUCCUGGCUCCACCCCUUCCCAGACCUCAUUUAAGGGUUGGCAGUGGAGAUGAGGGUAUCUCACUGGAGAUCCCUGCCUACUUGGAGCCUUCUAAAGGUAAGCAGAUUUUCUUCUUUUGUUUCUGUGUCUACAGCUGCUCCAAUGGGGUUUGUUCUCAUUUGCUGCAGCCCAGGAUUGUGCCACCCCGCUAUUAUUGCUGUACUUUCCAUUGCAUUACAGCAUUAGACUUUGAUUUUUUUCUAGACUGUAGUUUGUUCAAAAGUAUAUCUUCACGUUUGAAAGUCCUCCUUGCAGAAUACAAAUAUUCAAGCAUCUCAAGAUGGUGCGAGCUCCAAAAACAGCACAGGUUUACAACUCUAGAAGAAAACAACUUGUGUUCAUGUCACAAUUCUCAUUCAGGUGUUUUAAAACUUUUCUUUGUAUCUAGUAAUGUGAGAACUGUAAAACACUACUUUGUUAAGGCUAUCAUGGAGCCUGAAGUUUUAACAGAAGGAACAGAAAGCAUAAAAAUACCCACUUCGAAUCAUCAUUUGAUGUUCACCGUUCUCCUAAGUGGAUUGCAGCAGGUGAUGAACCAUACUUACUCCAGUCAAUAUAGGGUACUGUGAAAAAUGUAAGAGGGUGUCCCAGUUCCCUGUGCUCCAGUAGACAGAGCUAUGCGGGUGUGGAUGCAACCUGUGAGUAUGGCCUUCAUUGUAAACUCCGUGUCUAUCACAAACAGGUGCCAGGGUACAGCAGAGCACGCUUCUCUAUGUCCCCCUGCCCACUGUUUACUGCUAGUGAAUUUAUCUGUACUGCACAGGACAUGUAGGAGCUGAUCUAGAUCUGGGGAUAUCCAUCUAGCACCAGUACAUGACAGGACAUGGUUUCUCCUGGUAACGCCUGAAAGCUGGCACUCGUGUUGACCAGAUCUUAGGUGAGCAUUGCCAAGGGAGCAUGCUCAGCUGAUGGCAACUGGUUGCUGUUAUUCUGCUGGUAUUUCGGUGACGGGAAUCAGUACCAAAACACAAUUGUUCCAGGACAAGAAGCAUGGAAAAUCCAUAGGAAGUUUUUUACUUCUCUGCAUGCUUUCACUGAUAAUAAUUCAUAGCAAUUUGAUCGGUCCAGCAGAGAUGCAUAAUUACACUGCCAGCUGGGGUAUCUGUUAGCUGCUUCAGCACUUUAUUACCUAAGAGCUAAUAAUCUCUUAUCAAUCCGCACAGGCUAGCACAAUAAUACUUUUAUCUGUGUUAGGAGAACACCAGUUUCUCUAUAUAGGGUCAUUCAGGAAAACUAAUCCAAAUUGAUUUUUAAAGUAGAUUAAUUAAAUUAGGUUCCAUCUCUCCAAAUUUAC
ensembl:lncRNA